AUCCUCCUCGUUCUUACUGGCGUCAAUCUUCGCCCCCUCCGACUCGGCGCUGCCCCCUUCGGUGCCUCCAGACGCGGUUCCGCCCCCGGUCCCGGCUCCGCUUCCCGCCGCCGCCGCUGCCCCCUGUGUCGCCGCCACCAUGGCUCCCUCCUGCUCGCCCGCCGAGCCGCCUACCGCCGCCGUUGCCGCUGCCGCCGCCCCGUCCCCGCCGAACUGCUCCUCCGACAUAGUGCUAGUGUCUCCGCCGCUGCCGCCGAGACUACACCCGCCGCUGCCGCGAACCGAAACUAGCAGCAAAGUAAUCCCCGCCGCUGCCGCGCGCCCGCUCUACCUCGCGAAGCACACAAGACAGGGAAGGCGCGCGCGUGGCUGCAAAGGCUCCUGCGCCUCUCCCUGGCCUGCCCCCUUCGCCUCCCACUCUCGCGCGGCGCACACUCCCGCUCUCUCCCGCUGCACUAAAAAAGAAUAAGCACCAGCGGCGGCCGCUCUCGCCUCCUCCUCGCUUUAAUGGCGCCGCCGCGGACCACCUAAAAUGGCCGACGGAAGAACGGCGCGUCCCGGUCACGUGACGCGAGAGCGCGCCCUUCGCGCGUCCCCCCACCCCUAUCCCCCUAGUUUUUUUUUUUUCCCUUUCCUCCUCGGUCCCGCCCUCUCGCUACCCUUUAUACCUUCCUCUCACGCUCCGCGUUGCACAGCCUUGGGGGCCUUUAAAAGGAACCGGAAGUGUCGUGAGCUAAGACAGUCGCGCGGGGACCAUCGAGAACAAGGAGUGCUGUUUCGAAGUAGCGGCUAGAGGGGCCCCCUGCCUCCGCCCCCGCCCUUCCGAGGAUUCCUGGAGUCCACUCACCCCUCCCCACCACUCCAGUAGCGGCGGGAGCAGCAGCGUUAGGCCGGGGUGUGGCUGCACCUCUGCGAAGGCUGUCGUGCCCCGUGCAGCUGCGGCGUUCGGGUGGGGGAGGGGAGGCUCACACCCUGCGGCGGCUUAAGCCUGGAUUUACGCACUGGAGGAGGGAAUUAGCCCUGAGAUGUCAGCCCUGUGCCCCUGGCGCUGUCCACCCGGACGCCCGCGGAGCGCCAGGCGCCGCAGCGGACCGCGCGCGCACUGAUUGCCGCAGCUACUCUCCCUGCCGUCGCCGCCCGGGACCGGGUGACAUUGAGGUUUUCGUCUAUCGCCGCUGGGCCGAUAGGGCUUCUUUUUAAGAUUUGGCUUUCCAAGUAAGAUUUUUGUUUGCCUGCUUUUCUCCUGGAAUUUUUUUGUUUUUGGUCGAAGAAGCAGCUCCCACUUUGCAGUUGUGUCAGCCAAUCACGACAGCUUCCCAGACUUCCGUGCAAGUGCCUGCUUUGAGGCCAAGGUGGCCAUAAAUGGCAGCUCCUCAGGCUCCUCCACAAUCUCUGGUUUCUUAUGUUUCUCCAUGAGCUCAGCUUUUUCAUCAACUCCAAUGCUUCAAGCCGAAGUCAUUAGUGAAUGUUCUACAAUCCUUCAGCUGCAGCUCCAGACCUUCACUCCUCCAGCUUCUCCUACAUCCAUCUAACCCUCAAUUCCUACAUUAAAUCUCUUUAUUCCAGAAU
rnacentral:lncRNA from 1 species